CCUACGGGAGGCAGCAGUGGGGAAUAUUGGACAAUGGGCGAAAGCCUGAUCCAGCCAUGCCGCGUGUGUGAAGAAGGCCUUCGGGUUGUAAAGCACUUUCAGUGGGGAAGAAAGCCUUGGGGCUAAUACCCUCGAGGAAGGACAUCACCCACAGAAGAAGCACCGGCUAACUCCGUGCCAGCAGCCGCGGUAAUACGGAGGGUGCGAGCGUUAAUCGGAAUUACUGGGGUAAAACGCGCGUAGGCGGUCUGAUAAGCCGGUUGUGAAAGCCCCCGGGCUCAACCUGGGAACGGCAUCCGGAACUGUCAGGCUAGGGUGAAGGAGAGGAAGUAAGAAUCCCCGGGGUAGCGGGGAAAGGGGUAGAGAUCGGAAGGAAAACCAGUGGGGAAGGCGGCCUUUGGGACUGACACUGACGCGGGGGUCCGAAAGCGGGGUUAGCAACCAGGAUUGGAUCCCCAAGAGUC
rnacentral:rRNA from 1 species